AUCUUGUAUAUAAUUCAAGAGCUGCCAGGCAAGAUGAGUACUUUUUAGCAGGAAAGAUGAUCGCUGUAUCCAUUGUGCAUGGGGGACCAGCACCACAUUUCCUCUCCAAGAACCUGGUCAACCACAUCACAGGGAAUCAGAGUUUCAGCGCCACUGUAGAAGAUGUGCAAGAUGAGGAGAUCACAAAAGUUCUACAUCAGGUCCUGAAAGCUGAAUCAGAGGAGUCUUUGCAUAAUCUUAUUUUG